rnacentral:rRNA from 1 species
GACGAACGCUGGCGGCGUGCUUAACACAUGCAAGUCGAACGGUAAGGCCCUGUUGGUGUUAGAUGCUCGAGGGGCGAACGGGUGAGUAACACGUGAGUAGCCUUCCCUUCACUGUUGGGUAACUUCAAGUAAGUGUGGCACAUACCAUAUAGUAUCUCCUGCUGCGUGUUGGGGGUUAGAAAUUUUGGGCGGUUGGGGAUGGACUCGCGGCUUACCAGCUUGUUGGUGGGGUAGUGGCUUACCAAGGCUUUGACGGGUAGCCGGCCUGAGAGGGUGGCCGGCCAGACUGGGACUGAGAGACGGACCAGACUGAUACGGGCGGGAGGAGGGGGGAAGAUAGAACAAGGGGCGGACGCAAGACGCAGGAACGGAGCGUGCGGGAUGAAUGACGGCGGGUGGGAAGUCGCUUUCGCCUGUGACGAAGGGUGUGUGACGGUAAUGGGUAAAGAAGCACCGGCUAACUACGUG